rnacentral:rRNA from 1 species
GAUGAACGCUGGCGGUAUGCUUAACACAUGCAAGUCGAACGGACUCUUCGGAGUUAGUGGCGGACGGGUGAGUAACGCGUGAGAAUCUGGCCUUGGGUUCGGGACAACCACUGGAAACGGUGGCUAAUACCGGAUGUGCCGAGAGGUAAAAGAGAAAUUGCCUGAAGAUGAGCUCGCGUCUGAUUAGCUAGUUGGUGAGGUAAAGGCUCACCAAGGCAGCGAUCAGUAGCUGGUCUGAGAGGAUGACCAGCCACACUGGGACUGAGACACAGCCCAGACUCCUACGGGAGGCAGCAGUGGGGAAUUUUCCGCAAUGGGCGAAAGCCUGACGGAGCAAUACCGCGUGAGGGAAGAAGGCUCUUGGGUUGUAAACCUCUUUUCUUAGGGAAGAACAAAAUGACGGUACCUAAGGAAUCAGCAUCGGCUAACUCCGUG